GACGAACGCUGGCGGCGUGCCUAAUACAUGCAAGUCGAACGCAGUGGGGACGGGUGAGUAACACGUGGGUAACCUCCCAUCAGAGGGGAUAACACUUGGCAACAGGUGCUAAAACGAUAUUGAUGGAUGGACCCGCUGUGCAUUAGCUAGUUGGUGAGGUAACGGCUCACCAAGGCCACGAUGCAUAGCCGGCCGGAGAGGGUGAUCGGCCACACUGGGACGGAGACACGGCCCAGACUCCGACGGGAGGCAGCAGUAGGGAAUCUUCGACAAUGGGCGCAAGUCUGAUCGAGCAAUGCCGCGUGAAUGAAGAAGGUUUUCGGAUUGUAAAGCACUGUUGUUAGGGAGGCGGUACCUAACCAGAAAGCCCCGGCUAACUACGUGCCAGCAGCCGCGGUAAUAC
rnacentral:rRNA from 1 species